UAGAGUUUGAUCAUGGCUCAGAACGAACGCUGGCGGCAGGCCUAACACAUGCAAGUCGAGCGAGAUCUUCGGGUCUAGCGGCGGACGGGUGAGUAACGCGUGGGAAUAUGCCCUUCUCUACGGAAUAGCCUCGGGAAACUGAGAGUAAUACCGUAUACGCCCUUUGGGGGAAAGAUUUAUCGGAGAAGGAUUAGCCCGCGUUGGAUUAGGUAGUUGGUGGGGUAAUGGCCUACCAAGCCGACGAUCCAUAGCUGGUUUGAGAGGAUGAUCAGCCACACUGGGACUGAGACACGGCCCAGACUCCUACGGGAGGCAGCAGUGGGGA
rnacentral:rRNA from 1 species